UAUCUCUGUAGAGUCUGCAUAUCAAUAAGCGGAGGAAAAGAAACUAACAAGGAUUCCCUUAGUAACGGCGAGUGAAGCGGGAAGAGCUCAAAUUUGAAAUCUUCAAGGUUCUACCUUGACGAAUUGUAGUUUAAAGAAGUGUUUUCUGUUAGAUGAGUAGCAAAAGUUCCUUGGAAUGGGACAUCAUAGAGGGUGAGAAUCCCGUAUUUGGUUAUUCAUUCUAGCUUUGUGAUACACUUUCAAAGAGUCGGAUUGUUUGGGAAUGCAGUCCAAAAUGGGUGGUAAAUUUCAUCUAAAGCUAAAUAUUGGCGAGAGACCGAUAGCGAACAAGUACCGUGAGGGAAAGAUGAAAAGAACUUUGAAAAGAGAGUUAAACAGUACGUGAAAUUGUCAAAAGGGAAGCGUUUGACACCAGUGUUGUUUUUCCGAAAAUCAAUUACGAAUGGCUUGAUUUUGUGUUGUAUUGACCUUAUCAGCUUUCUUCACUUUUUUCGAGUCUUUCUUAAUGCACUUUUCGGUUAACAAGUCAACAUCAAUUUCUUUUGUUGUAAAAGAGUAUUCGGAAGGUGGCUUUCUUUUCGGAGAAAGUGUUUAUAGCCCUAUACUUCUACAAUCGGAGAGAUUGAGGUCUGCAGCGUAGAUCCUUCGGGGUUAGAUACACUUUGUGCUAAGUUGUAGCUUUUCAUAGACAACUUGUUGACUAUGUUUAGUCAUGCGGCUUACUCGCUUAUGCUAUUUUACCUACGCUUAGGAUGUUGACUGAUAUGUAGUCGUA
rnacentral:rRNA from 1 species